rnacentral:rRNA from 1 species
AUGGAUGAAAGCGGGGAUCGCAAGACCUCGCGCGAUUGGAGCGGCCGAUAUCAGAUUAGGUAGUUGGUGAGUAAAGGCUCACCAAGCCGACGAUCUGUAGCUGGUCUGAGAGGACGACCCAGCCACACUGGGACUGAGACACGGCCCCAGACUCCUACGGGAGGCAGCAGUGGGGAAUUUUGGACAAUGGGCGCAAGCCUGAUCCAGCAAUGCCGCGUGCAGGAUGAAGGCCUUCGGGUUGUAAACUGCUUUGUACGGAACGAAACGGUGAGCUCUAAUACAGUUUGCUAAUGACGGUACCGUAAGAAUAAGCACCGGCUAACUACGUG